UACGGAGGGUGCAAGCGUUAUCCGGAUUCAUUGGGUUUAAAGGGUGCGUAGGCGGAACAUUAAGUCAGUAGUGAAAUCUCUCAGCUCAACUGAGAAACUGCCAUUGAUACUGAUGUUCUUGAAUUUAGUUGAAGUAGGCGGAAUGAGGCAUGUAGCGGUGAAAUGCAUAGAUAUGCCUCAGAACACCGAUCGCGAAGGCAGCUUACUAAACUAACAUUGACGCUGAGGCACGAAAGCGUGGGGAGCAAACAGGAUUAGAUACCCUGGUAGUCCACGCCGUAAACUAUGAUUACUCGCUGUCGGCGAAACACUGUCGGUGGCUAAGCGAAAGUGAUAAGUAAUCCACCUGGGGAGUACGGUCGCAAGACUGAAACUCAAAGGAAUUGACGGGGGCCCGCACAAGCGGUGGAGCAUGUGGUUUAAUUCGAUGAUACGCGAGGAACCUUACCAGGGCUUAAAUGUAGAACGACCGAUUUGGAAACAGAUCUUCUCUUUGAGCGGUCUACAAGGUGCUGCAUGGUUGUCGUCAGCUCGUGCCGUGAGGUGUCGGGUUAAGUCCCUUAACGAGCGCAACCCCUAUCUCUAGUUGCCAGCGGAUAAUGCCGGGGACUCUAGAGAAACUGCCCGCGCAAGCGGUGAGGAAGGCGGGGAUGACGUCAAAUCAUCACGGCCCUUACGUCCUGGGCCACACACGUGCUACAAUGGUCGGUACAGAGGGCAGCUACCACGCGAGUGGAUGCAAAUCUCCAAAGCCGAUCUCAGUUCGGAUUGAAGUCUGCAACUCGACUUCAUGAAGCUGGAAUCGCUAGUAAUCGCGCAUCAGCCAUGGCGCGGUGAAUACGUUCCCGGGCCU
rnacentral:rRNA from 1 species